CAUCUGGUUCCAUUUUAUUAAAAAACAAAACCAAAAGAAAUUUUGCAGUGAAAUUUCCUGGAAUUCACAACCCUCAUUUAAAAAUCCUUAUAGUUGCAAUAUUUUUUUUUUAGCCAGUACGUAAGAACACGAUUGCACUUAUUUACAUGAUAGUCUUCUAUAUAACAAAAAUAACCAUGUUGUAAUGACUGUUUCCAACUAUCACCCUUGUUUCAUCACUAGCCCAUUAUGAGACAAGUUGAUUACGCUCUCCAAGUACAAAGAGAAUAGAAUAAAGCAAAAUAAAAGUCUGUGUCUCCUAAUAGAAGACAAAUUCCUUUAAAGACAGUUACUUUUUUUUUUUUUUCAAUUUCUUUGUAUUUCAAGAGGGAUAUAAAGUGCUCUGAAAGGAGUAGGGUAGGUGCCUGAGGUGGGGAAGAAGGAAAGAAAUUUAUACAGAAAAAAUUUAAAAAACUACACUGCCUUAACUAAUCAUCUCAAUAUGCACACAACUUUGUACAGAAGAUUAGUUUUGGGUAAAAACGCUACAUAAUUCACUAGUACUUAUUUCGGCAAUUAAGAACUGAAGUCCAAAUGAAAGACUCCCCAUGCAAAUGUCAUCAGGAGUGACUUUUUUGUGAUUUUGGGUCAGAUGCUAUAUAAAUCAAGGAAGCUCAGUCACACAGUCUGAAUAUGGAGAGGAUAGACAAUGCCGAGAUGGAACCAUCAUCUACUACCUGCAGACUAGCCAGAAAGACCUUGUGGGGAAGCUAAGUAGACUUUACCCCAACAUCAAUCAUUUUACAACAAAAGCAUUUUGUUGCAAGCAUUUGUUUACAAUAAAAGUAAUUUGUGUUAGGAUGGAAAAAAAGCCAUUGGAAUUUCCUCUUGCUAGUAGGGAGGAAGAUUGAUUUAUGAUGUCAUGUCUGAUUAUUUAUAAUUGUAAAUUCAUUAUUUGCAGAUUUUUUUCUAGUGGGAAAUAAUAUGCUGUACAAAGUGGUUAAAAUAAGUUAUUUCUUUUUCACAUUUUUGCAACUGGCAAUUGCUGGUUAUUGUCUGCAGUCUACAAAACUGAGUAUCACAUAUGUACUGCUUGAGAGUUUCCCCUGGAAACCAGAAUAAUCAUCCUCCCAGCUCAUGAACAUUUUAAAGAACAAUACCCAUUUUUUUUUCCAGAAAAUGGAUGGAAUGUAACUUUUCACAAAUACAAAAUUAUUUCAUUUUCUAAAUGUAAGGGACACCCCUCUAUAAAAAUAACAGUCCCUCCCCACUCCCACCCCUACAUCUCCUUCUAAUUAUAAAAUGGUAGAACCAUCUCAGAUUACUAAUGUGAAAGCAGGAAGUAAAUAUAUUAUGUACAUGUACAAAACACAUCAGUAUUUCACACCAUUUACAUUCAUAUGAAGUCUUUUUAUUGAUCUUCCUUUGCAAUUUCACAAGAAUAAAGUUGAGAUAACUUACAAAAACAAGCAGUCCCUUGCUUAUAACUGCACAAACAUUCUAGCCAGAGGCAUCUUCUUUGCAAACAGAGCAACAUUAUCCUUCAACAUUUUGCAGAAGUAAGGGCUGCUGACAGUGAGAAGAUCUGUGGGGUCUCCUUCAGCUUUUUAGAGUUUGUGACACUCUUUCCUCAUUUGAUAAAUGUAGACCAAAUUCUCAACUACCGAAGAAAUUGUAUGAUGAAAGGCAAGUAACUGGUUGUUGAAUUCAUGACCCAAGUCAAAUUAAUCUGCUGCAAGAAUAAUUGCGAUUACUCCAGCAGAGGGCACUCUGCUCCUUGCAAUAACAUCCUACUGAACAGUAAGUACCAUGGAUGCCAACACAAAUUCAGACCGAAAAGUCCAUGUAUGUGUUAGUUCUUCAACUGCUCUACUAUACCCAUUAGUACAGGCAACAGUUUUGUAUCUUCUUCGAAAGAGCAGGAUAUACUAUAUUUAGCUAGCUCUUAUACAUGAAAAUUCUUUGGCUAUUUAAAAUCUUCACAUUCUCAAAGAGAACAAUGUUCUGAGUUCAGUAAAGCGCUAGAUUUGUUGGAAAGUUUUGAAGGAAAAGGGGACUAAACACUAGACUUUAAAGAUGGUGUGGUACUAAGGCCACAAUUCAUUUUUUAGAUUUCGGGAUUUAGUAAGGUCAAUCAACAGUCUGCAACAGAAAACCCCAUAAGGUUUAAUGGUUUCAUUCAACCAUGCAACCCACCUUCGCUUUUAUUUAUGAGAACAUUGCAGACCUCUUAAUAGACGUGUAUAUUUUUGUCUUAUCAUCAGCAAAUAUUUAUCAGGUGGCCACAGAGCAAAUGGCUCUGUAUUAAGUGCAAACGUCAGUGGUAGCACAGAAUUAGAAGAUCUUUGAUCACUGAAAUUCCUGAAAAAGCCACGUGAUUAUGAAGCACUCAAGGCAGGUGAAGAGAGAUGUGACUGACCUUAGCAGGUUCUUGUAGAACAAGCAGGAUUGCAAUCAAAUUGCUCGAUAUUAAGGGGCCACGUCUAGCAUCUGGACUUGCUUCAUUAGUUCUGGGAUGAUAACUUGGUGUCAAUAAAAGGUGUAGAGUGGAAGAGUGUGGCUAUUGAUCUGUGGGUCUUUAAAAAUUAAUGUUCCUAUUACACAGGGUCUGGGGUUGAGUGAGGACAAAAGGAGGGAAAAGGAAGAGCUAAGGGAUGAUGAGAAACUCAUAUUAGCUUCUUAGAAUUAAUUUAUUUUUCAGGCAAUCCAGACCUUCUUUGCAAUCAUGAGUAUUUUAACUCAUGAGUAUUUAAUUCCUUAAAAAUACAAACUCCCCAAAACCCAGGUCAGCUCUAAACCUAGGGAUGAGCAUUUACUUGGGGACAGCACGCACAUUUUGUUAAGCACAGAAGCUUUCCAGCCCUGCUUUGACCAGCUCCCUGAUCAGAGAUCCUGCCAUCCUCUUUUCUUACUUCCUGCAGGGUGACACUCCCAUCCCAUUUUAACUGCCAACAUCAAACGUAUUCAUCCAUGCAAUGGCAUGGAUGAAGGACCUCGGUGGCCAAGAGCACUGCAUGAAGAACCAUGCAUCCCCAUCUUAAGAGGGUAGUCUCUUCGUGUCUCUUUGUCAGUCUUCAGGAAUUAGUGGCCCUCAGAUCACUUACGAUGAGCAAGCACUUGUGCUAAGUAGUUAGGAAGAAUGGGCAUUCCAUCAGGUACAGUAUACAAGUUUUUCCAAGAAAUCCUAACCCUGGGGGCUCAGGCGAAUGAGGAGGGUCAAAUGCUGAGGGUGGGAGAAAGCAGAUCUAGACAGCAUUCUGGAAUUGUUGCUUUGCCAUUAUUUGCCCAGAAAACAUUUAUGGCAAGGAAGCCUGAAAACAUGGCAAUGGUUGUAAGAUGGGUUGCGAUACAACUGGUGAUGUGAGAAGUGAAAAUGAAACUGACUCCUUUAGGGAGGACAUUGGUUUAUAGUAAACAGGUUUGCCUCAUCAGAAGUGAAUAUGGAUAUUGCUACACAAUAAAAAGAGGAAAAACACCAACAACAGUAACAAUGGUAAUCACAAUAAUGAUAAUGACUCUGUAGGUAUAGAACCUCCAGUUUUUUGUGUUCUGAAGGUUAUUUCAGAGUUUCUUGCAAGAGAGAAAACAAAUCAGAAAAAAAGGGGAAGAGAGAAGAUGGGAAAAUAAUUUAUGUAUGGGUAUACAAAGUAAGAUAUAGGCAGUCAGAGAAAAACAGAUACAGACAGAAAAGGAAAAGAAACUUAGAGAAGAUAUAAAAAUGCUACUGGAAAUUGCCUCUGUGGCCUUAGUACCAGAAAAGACUGGGCUCUCGCUCCACAGAGGGAGUGACUCCAUAGCCCAGAUUUUUUGAAAAGUUUUGAUUUAAGGAUUUUUUUUUAAGUCAGGGUGAUACAUUCAAUGGAUAACUAAAUGUCAUUUAAUUUUUUAUGCUCUGCAAAAAUAUCCAUCUAAACAAAACUCAUAAAUAAGAAAGAAUCCUAUGUUAGAUCACUGGCAUUGAUUUGGUUUUGAGAGUAUGGUAGCCUCAGGGAUGUCAGGGCAGUAACUGAAAUGGCCACUGGGCAUGGUGAGCUUUGAAAUGACCAAACCCAGAUCUAUGAAUUUCCAGGAUAUUUCACCAGGAUGAAGGAAAUGUUAAAAACAAGAAAACAAAACAAAACAAAACAAAAUGAACAUUUUUGGACAGAGCUUUGCCUCCAUGAUUCUGAUCAUUACCAUGUGAUGUCAAAAAUGGGUAGGUACCUUUGCCGCUUUUAAUUUUCUGCCUUCUCCAGACUCUACCUCUCCCUGUGUAGAUGACCAGAGUUGACACUGCAGGGGAUAUCUAACCCUAGAGAUUAAGUCAAUGUUCAAAAGCUGUAUUCAUAGUCAGGGCUCAGCUCUUCCAAAGGGACUAGCCACAUAGGAGGUAGCAGUUCCUAAAGGUGACCCUAAAUUAUUUUGAGUGAAUGCAAAUGCUCCUUUUCUUCCCCAUAGCAUUGGGGUGGCAGGUGGAUGCUGACUUGGAGUAAAAUGCUGGCUGUUGGAGGGUUUGCCAUAGAAGUGAGGGGUAUAAUUUUGUUUCAGCACCAAAUCAGCAUGGUUUGUGUGAGUUUUAAGUAACAACUGGUCAGAGGAGUAACAACAAAUGGUCAUGGACAUCAAUGAUAUGGUUAGAAAGUUCAAGCAGAAAUUUUAAAAAGGGUGCCUGAAUCUUUAUUCACUACAAAAUAAAUGGACCUCUGGGCCUCUCAUUAGGCGACUUGGGUGGUGUCCAGUUCUCCCUGGAGGUAAUUAAGCUUUUAACCUUCUUUUCUUUUGUAAGGGUCGGGGGAUCUUGUGAGAAUACUGGAGGAACUCUAGACCUGCAUUGUCCAAUUGGCAGCCACUAGCCACAUGUGACUAUCCAAAUUGAGAGGUGCUGUGAGUGUAAAAGACACAAUGGAUUUAGAAGACUUAGUACACAAAAGCAUGUAAAACAUGUCAUUAAUUUACAUUAGUGACAUGUUGAAACAAUAUUAGGUUAAAGUACAUGAUUAAAAUUAUCUUUACCUGUUUCUUUUUACACUUUAAAAUGUGGCUAGUAGAAAAUUUAAAAUUAUGUCUGUGACUUGCAUUACGUUUCUGUUGGACAGUGCUAGUCUAGACUCUUGCUAUAGAAAAAUGCACAUCUGCAAAUACACAUACAGUCUGCAUUUGCUUCUAGAGGGUACACACACCCUCUGACACUCAUCUGUAGACUACCAGGUCUCCAGGUCAGUCUCUUCUUUGGGGGAGGUAAAGAAGGCUAUAAGGAAGGGCUGUUCCCCUUUCUUCUGAAAGAGAAACUUUCUGGUUAAGCUUUUUUUUUUUCUUUUUUUUUUUUUUUUUAAACUAUCAAAGCUACAGGAAAAUCCUCCAGAAACAAACUUUGGUAAGUAGUGAAUGGCAAAGGCUCAGGGGGU
rnacentral:lncRNA from 10 species